GUGCUCGCUUCAGCAGCACAUAUACAAAAAAUUGAAAUGAUACAAAGAUUAGCAUGGCCCCUGCACAAUGACAUGCAAAUUUAUAAAAUGUUCCGUAUUUUU
rnacentral:snRNA from 2 species